GCCGGGCACGGUGGCGCGCGCCUAUAGUCCCAGCUACUCGGGAGGCUGAGGCAGGAGGAUCGCUUGAGCCCAGGAGUUCUGGGCUGCAGUGUGCUAUGCCGAUCGGGUGUCCGCACUAAGUUUGGCAUCAAUAUGGUGACCUCCUGGGAGCGGGGGACCACCAGGUUGCCUAAGGAGGGGUGAACCGGCCCAGGUCGGAAACGGAGCAGGUCAAAAAUGUGCAAGGCAUUCUCAAAGCCACACAGGGGAUGGGCCAUGGGAGGAGGAGGAGCAUUCCCUGGGCUCAGGAAAUUGGUGGACUCAG
rnacentral:SRP_RNA from 1 species